UCCUGCAUUCGAAAGUGAUCAUGGGCUUCCUGUGCUGUGGUCACUGAUAGUGCAGGGAGAGGAAUUGCUGAAAGAUGUUUCCCUGUGUUUGGAGGGCCCCCCCGUCCUUUCUGAACCCUGGAACUUUCACAGA
rnacentral:snoRNA from 1 species